CAGCAGGAUCCUCUAGGAUCCACCUCCCAGAAUAUUGGAAAUAAAAG
rfam:TPA: Bos taurus chromosome X, whole genome shotgun sequence.